UAGUGGAGCAGAAACCGCGAAUUGGCUCAUUAAAUCAGCUCUGAUUCAUUGCCCCGCCGGGAAGAUUUUCCUAUGGAGAACCGUGGUCGGCCAAGACGGAAACUACUGGCGAAAAGGCAAUUUGCGCAAGGGAAGAGUGUUUUCAUUAGAUCAAAGAACGGAAAGUUAGAGGUUCGAAGGCGGAUCAGAUACCGCCCUAGUUCUAACCUGAUAAACUUGAUGCUGAGCGCACGCGAUCCGCACCGGCGCCGCUUAUUCCCAUGACCCGGGCUGGGCAGCUUCCGGGAAACCAAAGUCUUUGGGCUUCCGGGGGAAGUAUGGUUGCAAAGCUGAAACUUAAAGGAAUUGAUUCCGGAGAGGGCACCACCAGGAGUGGAGCCUGCGGCUUAAUUUGACUCAACAGGCGGGGAACCUCACCAGGCCCGGACACCGGAAGGUAUUGACAGAUUGAGAGCUCUUUCUCGAUUCGGUGGGUGGUGGUGCAUGGCCGUUCUUAGUUGGUGGAGCGAUUUGUCUGGUUAAUUCCUAUAACGAACGAGACUCUUGGCCUACUAAGUCUAGUGCGACGGAUCUCCAGCAAUUGGUGCUCCAGUUCGCAGCUUCUUCUUAGAGGGAUAAGCGGCAACUUUAGCCGCACGUAGAUUGAGCAAUAACAGGUCUGUGAUGCCCUUAGAUGUUCUGGGCCGCACGCGCGCUACACUGAAGGGAUCAACGUCUCCUCCCCCUCCGAGAGGAGCGGGUAACCCGUUGAAAUCCUUUCAUGAUAGGGAUUGGGGUUCUGCAAUUGUCUCCCAUGAACGGAGGAAUUCCCAGUAAGCGCAAGUCAUGAGCUUGCGUUGAUUACGUCCCUGCCCUUUGUACACACCGCCCGAAUCGCUACUACCGAUUGAAUGAUUUAGUGAGGCCUUCGGACUGGCGCUCUUGGAUGCCGGUUCCCACGCGGUACCCAACCAUUUUGGGCUAACUCGGCGCCUCGAGCUGACGGAAAGAUGUCCGAAACUUGCGCGAUCACUUAGAGGCAGUGGGCAGUAAUUAUUUUGU
rnacentral:rRNA from 1 species